UACGGAGGAUGCGAGCGUUAUCCGGAUUUAUUGGGUUUAAAGGGUGCGUAGGCGGAUCGUUAAGUCAGUGGUCAAAUUGAGGGGCUCAACCCCUUCCCGCCAUUGAAACUGGUGAUCUUGAGUGGAAGAGAAGUAUGCGGAAUGCGUGGUGUAGCGGUAAAAUGCAUAGAUAUCACGCAGAACCCCGAUUGCGAAGGCAGCAUGCCGGCUUCCUACUGACGCUGAAGCACGAAAGCGUGGGGAUCGAACAGG
rnacentral:rRNA from 1 species